rnacentral:rRNA from 1 species
CCACCAAGGCGACGAUGCGUAGGGGUUCUGAGAGGAAGGUCCCCCACGCUGGUACUGAGACACGGACCAGACUCCUACGGGAGGCAGCAGUGAGGAAUAUUGGUCAAUGGGCGCGAGCCUGAACCAGCCAAGUCGCGUGAGGGAAGACGGUCCUAUGGAUUGUAAACCUCUUUUGUCGGGGAGCAAAAGACGCCACGUGUGGCGUUCCGAGAGUACCCGAAGAAAAAGCAUCGGCUAACUCCGUGCCAGCAGCCGCGGUAAUACGGAGGAUGCGAGCGUUAUCCGGAUUUAUUGGGUUUAAAGGGUGCGCAGGCGGAAGAUCAAGUCAGCGGUAAAAUUGAGAGGCUCAACCUCUUCGAGCCGUUGAAACUGGUUUUCUUGAGUGAGCGAGAAGUAUGCGGAAUGCGUGGUGUAGCGGUGAAAUGCAUAGAUAUCACGCAGAACUCCGAUUGCGAAGGCAGCAUACCGGCGCUCAACUGACGCUCAUGCACGAAAGUGUGGGUAUCGAACAGGAUUAGAUACCCUGGUAGUCCACACAGU